rnacentral:rRNA from 1 species
AGUUUGAUCCUGGCUCAGGACGAACGCUGGCGGCGUGCCUAAUACAUGCAAGUCGAGCGGACAGAAGGGAGCUUGCUCCCGGACGUUAGCGGCGGACGGGUGAGUAACACGUAGGUAACCUGCCCCUUAGACUGGGAUGACUCCGGGAAACCGGAGCUAAUACGGGAUAAUAAAGAGAAUCACCUGAUUCUCUUUUGAAAGACGGCGUCUAGCUGUCACUAAGGGAUGGGCCUGCGGCGCAUUAGCUAGUUGGUAAGGUAACGGCUUACCAAGGCGACGAUGCGUAGCCGACCUGAGAGGGUGAUCGGCCACACUGGGACUGAGACACGGCCCAGACUCCUACGGGAGGCAGCAGUAGGGAAUCUUCCGCAAUGGACGAAAGUCUGACGGAGCAACGCCGCGUGAGUGAGGAAGGCCUUCGGGUCGUAAAGCUCUGUUGUGAGGGAAGAACAAGUACCGGGGUAACUACCGGUACCUUGACGGUACCUCACCAGAAAGCCACGGCUAACUACGUGCCAGCAGCCGCGGUAAUACGUAGGUGGCAAGCGUUGUCCGGAAUUAUUGGGCGUAAAGCGCGCGCAGGCGGCUUCUUAAGUCUGAUGUGAAAUCUCGGGGCUCAACCCCGAGCGGCCAUUGGAAACUGGGAAGCUUGAGUGCAGAAGAGGAGAGUGGAAUUCCACGUGUAGCGGUGAAAUGCGUAGAUAUGUGGAGGAACACCAGUGGCGAAGGCGACUCUCUGGUCUGUAACUGACGCUGAGGCGCGAAAGCGUGGGGAGCAAACAGGAUUAGAUACCCUGGUAGUCCACGCCGUAAACGAUGAGUGCUAGGUGUUAGGGGUUUCGAUGCCCGUAGUGCCGAAGUAAACACAUUAAGCACUCCGCCUGGGGAGUACGGCCGCAAGGCUGAAACUCAAAGGAAUUGACGGGGACCCGCACAAGCAGUGGAGCAUGUGGUUUAAUUCGAAGCAACGCGAAGAACCUUACCAGGUCUUGACAUCCUUUGACCACUCUGGAGACAGAGCUUCCCCUUCGGGGGCAAAGUGACAGGUGGUGCAUGGUUGUCGUCAGCUCGUGUCGUGAGAUGUUGGGUUAAGUCCCGCAACGAGCGCAACCCUUGAUCUUAGUUGCCAGCAUUUAGUUGGGCACUCUAAGGUGACUGCCGGUGACAAACCGGAGGAAGGUGGGGACGACGUCAAAUCAUCAUGCCCCUUAUGA